rnacentral:rRNA from 1 species
GAUGAACGCUAGCUACAGGCUUAACACAUGCAAGUCGAGGGGAAACGAUAGAGAAAGCUUGCUUUUUCUAGGCGUCGACCGGCGCACGGGUGAGUAACGCGUAUCCAACCUGCCCAUCACUUGGGGAUAACCUUGCGAAAGUAAGACUAAUACCCAAUGACGUCUCUAGAAGACAUCUGAAAGAGAUUAAAGAUUUAUCGGUGAUGGAUGGGGAUGCGUCUGAUUAGCUUGUUGGCGGGGUAACGGCCCACCAAGGCGACGAUCAGUAGGGGUUCUGAGAGGAAGGUCCCCCANAUUGGAACUGAGACACGGUCCAAACUCCUACGGGAGGCAGCAGUGAGGAAUAUUGGUCAAUGGACGAGAGUCUGAACCAGCCAAGUAGCGUGCAGGAUGACGGCCCUAUGGGUUGUAAACUGCUUUUAUAAGGGAAUAAAGUGAGUCUCGUGAGACUUUUUGCAUGUACCUUAUGAAUAAGGACCGGCUAAUUCCGUGCCAGCAGCCG